UACGUAGGUGGCAAGCGUUAAUCGGAAUUACUGGGCGUAAAGCGCACGCAGGCGGUCUGUCAAGUCGGAUGUGAAAGCCCCCGGCUCAACCUGGGAACUGCAUUUGAAACUGUCUGACUAGAGUCCUGUAGAGGGGGGUAGAAUUCCAGGUGUAGCGGUGAAAUGCGUAGAGAUCUGGAGGAAUACCGGUGGCGAAGGCGGCCCCCUGGACAAAGACUGACGCUCAGGUGCGAAAGCGUGGGGAGCAAAC
rnacentral:rRNA from 1 species